rnacentral:rRNA from 1 species
CCUACGGGAGGCAGCAGUGGGGAAUUUUGGACAAUGGGCGCAAGCCUGAUCCAGCAAUGCCGCGUGAGUGAAGAAGGCCUUCGGGUUGUAAAGCUCUUUUGUCAGGGAAGAAACGGUGGGAGCUAAUAUCUCCCGCUAAUGACGGUACCUGAAGAAUAAGCACCGGCUAACUACGUGCCAGCAGCCGCGGUAAUACGUAGGGUGCAAGCGUUAAUCGGAAUUACUGGGCGUAAAGCGUGCGCAGGCGGUUUUGUAAGUCUGUCGUGAAAGCCCCGGGCUCAACCUGGGAAUUGCGAUGGAGACUGCAAGGCUUGAAUCUGGCAGAGGGGGGUAGAAUUCCACGUGUAGCAGUGAAAUGCGUAGAGAUGUGGAGGAACACCGAUGGCGAAGGCAGCCCCCUGGGUCAAGAUUGACGCUCAUGCACGAAAGCGUGGGGAGCAAACAGGAUUAGAUACCCUGGUAGUCCACGCCCUAAACGAUGUCUACUAGUUGUCGGGUUUUAAUUAACUUGGUAACGCAGCUAACGCGUGAAGUAGACCGCCUGGGGAGUACGGUCGCAAGNUUAAAACUUAAGGAAUUGACGG